CACGUAGGGCGCAAGCGUUGUCCGGAAUUAUUGGGCGUAAAGAGCUCGUAGGCGGUCUGCCACGUCCGCUGUGAAAACCUAGGGCUUAACCCUGGGCUUGCAGUAGAUACGGGCAGACUAGAGGUAGGUAGGGGAGAUCGGAAUUCCUGGUGUAGCGGUGAAAUGCGCAGAUAUCAGGAGGAACACCGGUGGCGAAGGCGGAUCUCUGGGCCAUUACUGACGCUGAGGAGCGAAAGCGUGGGGAGCAAACAGG
rnacentral:rRNA from 1 species